GUUUACACCGAACGUUAGUUUUUCCCCUUGACAUUUCCCCCCAGAAUUUAUUUAUGUGAUUAUUCAAGGCAAAGGAGUUGUUGAAUAUGGCUAUUCAUGUGGCGCAUCCAUCAGUGCGAAUGAAAGGCGCUGAGGCAGACUGGACGCCCAUACAAUGCACAGACAGGGAGUGUAGCCACUCCUUGAUGAAGGCUCCGCAUCUGCACUGUCCAUUCUGCUCCCAGGAAAGUCUCUUCACUGAUGAGAUUCUCCUCAAGGCACACUACAGGGUCAAGCACGUGGAUAAAGGCAUCAACUUUGGGGUAUGUCAACCAGAUCUUCACCACAUACACCGACCCAGCACCCAACAGUACCAGCCUGGUAACACACCUCAUAGUCCCCCAGUCACAGCAGCCAUCGGAGACAGACACAUCAUCCCCGGGGCUUUGAGCAGACUGACGGGCAGCAGUACCAGUACGCCUGCAUCAAUGAUCCGAGCCAGAGCACUGCCAAUGGGGAAGGUAAGAUGUUGUCCUUAUUGAGAUACCAGACGAGGGAAGCAAAGGGGAUUUGGAGGACGAGACUUGCUACACAGAGCACAACUUGUCGCUGCUGCUGCAGGAGAAGGAAAGUCUGGAGAAGACUCUUGAGGAGGAGCAGACCACGUUGGCCCAGACAGAGCACAGGAUGAAAGGCACUAUAGAAAGGCUUCGUACAAAGGUUGAGUAUUUGUCCAACACAAACAUGUCACUCAAGCAGCAGCUGUCCAUGAUUCACAAGUCCAGUUUGAAACAUCUAACCAACAACAGCUAGAACCAGUCCAUUUUGCAAGAGUUACUGCAACACAUGUCUGAGGAGCACACCCAGCUGCUGCACCACCAUCUAGCACAGCUACGGCUGUACACUCAGGCCUGCGCAUUAUCCAAAUCAGCCCCCGAGGAAUCUGCAGCUGAAUCUACAGUCUUGGUACCAGACCUGGCUGACCAAUCACAGGACAUCUCACACAUGGCCAUGAUGUCGUCCUCGGAGGGCACCCUUGGGAACAUGGAGCAGACAGUCGUCAUGACGAUAACGUCUGAGGAGGAUUCGGAGCCGCUCGGCAACAUCGUGGAUAACCCCGGAGAUACUGUGGGACAUGACUCCUUGACUUUGGAUAAGGACGUUCACUUGUCACCAAAUGACAUUCUGUACCAACUGACAAGCGAGGGACUGUCACCAAGACAUGCCACCUCUGAGUCGGGUCACGUUUAUCAAUCAGGUAGAACUCAUUCACAUCACAACACAGGCUGUGAUGUCACGCAACAGGAUUUUCACAAGAACAAAAGUUGAAAAUUGGUUCUUUCCAACAGCAUGCCAAAUGAGGGACCACCAUUAAAAUGUGGGAGAACUAACAGCCUGAAAGCCACUUAACUAAAUAAAACCGGACAUAUUUUGUAAACAGUGUA